rnacentral:rRNA from 1 species
CCUACGGGUGGCAGCAGUGGGGAAUAUUGAGCAAUGGGCGCAAGCCUGACCCAGCCAAGCCGCGUGAAGGAAGACGGCUUUCGGGUUGUAAACUUCUUUUCUCAGGGACGAAACCAUUGCCGCUACCUGAGGAAUAAGCCGCGGCUAACUACGUGCCAGCAGCCGCGGUAAUACGUAGGUGGCCAGCAUUAUCCGGAUUUACUGGGUGUACAGGGCGUGUAGGCGGGACUGCAAGUCAGAUGGGAAACCCAUGGGCUCAACCUAUGGCCUGCAGUUGAAACUGUAGGUCUUGAGUACUGGAGAGGCAGACGGAAUGCCUAGUGUAGCGGUGAAAUGCGUAGAGAUUAGGAGGAACACCAGUGGCGAAGGCAGUCUGCUGGACAGCAACUGACGCUGAGGCGCGAAAGCGUGGGGAGCAAACAGGAUUAGAUACCCGGGUAGUC